rnacentral:rRNA from 1 species
GACGAACGCUGGCGGCGUGCUUAACACAUGCAAGUCGAACGGAAAGGCCCUGCUUUUGUGGGGUGCUCGAGUGGCGAACGGGUGAGUAACACGUGAGUAACCUGCCCUUGACUUUGGGAUAACUUCAGGAAACUGGGGCUAAUACCGGAUAGGAGCUCCUGCUGCAUGGUGGGGGUUGGAAAGUUUCGGCGGUUGGGGAUGGACUCGCGGCUUAUCAGCUUGUUGGUGGGGUAGUGGCUUACCAAGGCUUUGACGGGUAGCCGGCCUGAGAGGGUGACCGGCCACAUUGGGACUGAGGUACGGCCCAGACUACUACGGGAGGCAGCAGUGGGGAAUAUUGCACAAUGGGCGGAAGCCUGAUGCAGCAACGCCGCGUGCGGGAUGACGGCCUUCGGGUUGUAAACCGCUUUCGCAUGUGACGAAGCGUGAGUGACGGUAAUGGGUAAAGAAGCACCGGCUAACUACGUG